AAAAUACAUGACGACAUUGCCGAAAACCCGUCGACACUUACGAAACAUUCAGCCCCGUCUUAUCGUCUCCGCCUAACGGAGAUCUCUCGCUUCUCUUCCUUCGAUAAGAUGCUUCUCGUUCCCUGGAAAUAUUCGAUUCACGACGAGAAGGUGAGACUCACUUUACGGUGAAACUCGUCAAGAGGAUUCGUAUUUCCGACGAAUUUCCAAGUUGUGAAAACAUUUUCCUGCGACAAGGUUGAAAAUAAUCUGUGACGAUUAAUAACGAUAGUAACGAUAACGAUUAUUUUAAAAGACAAUUCGUGUUCAAGUAACGCACUGUUUUUCUAUUCAAACAUUUCAGACUUACCCAUAUGCCGUUAGGUAAAUUAAAGAAAUAACGUGUGUAUUAUUUGCAAAAUUGUACACAAAGGUUUUGCAUAUUGUAUCACAUAAAUUAUUGGACAUGCUUACGAUCCUGGAUACUGUCUCUGGAAAUUAAGUAAAUUAAUAUGUAUAUUUCAUCGUAUGAGUAUUAUUUCCUCCUAUUACUAGUAAUUCUUCCAGUAUACCUUUUUUUUAAAUUAUGGUCAUGGCUGGGCUGGCAAUUGUUUGUAAAUAAUUAAUAUUAUGUACAUUUUGUAGUCGAUUAAUUUUACUAAUGUUUCUUGUUAUUUUUAAAUUAUCCAAGUUUCGUUUUUGUGAAAUUUUAGCCUCGUGCAGCUUAAUAAC